rnacentral:lncRNA from 1 species
GAAGCCAGGCCAAGAAGAAUCCCAGGACUGGAAGGCCUUGUGGGACGUCCCAGGUUUGUCUUGUGUCAAUAGCACUGAUACUCAAUCUCCUACUCCCAUCUGUGAGCAUGCAGACCCUACUUGCCUUCCCACAGCCUCCCUUUUCAUAUUUUUCAUGUUUCUUUAGCUCUGUCUUCAAGCCUUGUUGCUCCCGCAAAAAAACCUGCCUCUUCCUCCAGUCCUCCCAAGCAGGGGGAACAGUCCUGACACCUUUCCAAGCCCUGGUCCAUGGACAUUGUGCCCCCUUCUCCCUGCCCAUGGUGACCUGCUCCAAAACCCUCAAGGAGAAGGGAGUGUAUGUCAUUUCCUCCCUGUAAAGUAAAGAUAAUUUUGCAGGGGACUGUGUGGAUGAAAUGACAUGAUGCAUGGAAAUCCCUUAGCGUGUGCCUGGCAUGUAAACUGCAGGUGUCAUCAUUAUUACUGAGGAAUACUGAGUCCCGAACAUGGCUGUCUCAUUGGUGGACUGGGGUCUCCCCCAGGGCAUUCAUCUACUAUGUGUUUAUUGCACCCUUUUUCCAUGUGAGGCACAUGCCAGGGACUGGGCACAUGGUAUGAACAAGACACAGGUCAUCGGUGUCCUCUUGAGCUCCCUGGCUUGGCAGCAGAUGCAUACCUGGGAAGGAUGCUAGGUCAUCCGGGAACUCUACCUCCUUCAAAUCCCUAAGGACUGUGCUCCCAAUCCGCUUACGCUCAAGGAAGAACUGGAAGGCCCAGAACCAGCCUGCUGUCAGGAUCAGAACAAAAGAGGAGGACUGCAUAUGUAUGGACCCACUCCAGAUGGCACGGGGACGGGGGGAGUAGGAAAAGUGGCAUGAGACCAGGCCCACAGAGUAUGGCUGUGCAAGUUGUUCACUCUACAAGGGCACCUGGCCGGGGUCUUACCUUGAAUGGAGGAGAAGAGCUUGAAGAUGAGGGGACAGGCCAAGACAACUACCUGGCCCCGAGGGGUGGCUGGCCAGCAGAUGAGGAAAUGGAGGCACAGACUGAUUAGAAAACCAGCUCAAGGUCAUGUUGCUGCUCUCUCAUUCCUGUUGAGGGCUCUCUGGUGGAGCCUCUGUCUCACAGGUCACCUGCAGGCCAACACUCCCAGAAGCAGCUAGCACCAUGGUUGACCUCGUCCAGGUCCAGGGAAGGCCUCCCUCUCCAGGACUCCUUUAGAUUUCCCCAGCAUCCAGACCUCACCUGCCUAAGUGCUGUUGCCCUGGAAGCCACAGUGAGCACGAGCUCCAUCUUGCACCUUUACCAGCCAAUGGGGGUAAAGACAUUAGCUGGCCAUGUUCAAUCCCCUCAAGGGAAGCCUGAGACCACAGCUACUGCCUCGAAUCAGAAGCCCCAGCCUCAUCAUCUGGGGCCAGAGAACUAGGGCAGGAGGAGCCAAGUAGCACAGCAGGAAGCAUGAGUCCCUCCGAGGAGAAGCUGGUCUCUGAGAGGAGCACAGAAUGCAGCAGGCUGGAUAAGCCCCCUGCUGAAAUCAUGGGGUAAAAAAGAGACACAGGGGGAAUGGAGGAGCCAGAGAGAAAGCAGUGUGAUCACAGGCACACAGGACAGCAGCUCACCUUCCCAUCCUUGCUGGCUUUUGCACCCAACAGCCCAAAGCCUCCCCGCUGCAAAUUCUUUUUUUUUUUUUUUUUUGCCAGCCUCACUUCCUCUUGGGGAAGGCUGAGCUCUGGUAGAAGAAGAGAAUGAGAACUGCUGUAAAUACUUCUAAGGGGCCAGGCGUGGUGACUCAUGCUUGUAAUUCCAAGCACUUUGGGAGGCUGAGGCAGGUGGAUCACCUGAAGCCAGGAGUUCAAGAGCAGCCUGGCCAACAUGGCGAAACCCUGUCUCUACUAAAAAUACAAAAUUUAGCCAGGCAUGGUGGCGGGAGCCUGUAAUCUCAGCUCCUAGGGAGGCUGAGCCAGAAGAAUCGCUUAAACCUGGAAGCUGGAGGUUGCAGUGAGCCAAGAUCACACCACCACACUCCAGCCUGGGUGACAGAGCAAGACUCCAUCUCAAAAAGAAAAAAAAGAAAAAAAGGAAAUACUUCUAAGUUAUGUGAGAGAGUACAUACUGACAUUUUCAAUGGGUACAAUAA